GGAGAGGUGUCCGAGUGGUUGAAGGAGCACGCCUGGAAAGUGUGUAUACGGCAACGUAUCGAGGGUUCGAAUCCCUCUCUCUCCGCCA
rnacentral:tRNA from 3 species